ACGAACGCUGGCGGCGUGCUUAACACAUGCACGUCGAACGGAAAGGCCCUGCUUUUGUGGGGUGCUCGAGUGGCGAACGGGUGAGUAACACGUGAGUAACCUGCCCUUGACUUUGGGAUAACUUCAGGAAACUGGGGCUAAUACCGGAUAGGAGCUCCUGCUGCAUGGUGGGGGUUGGAAAGUUUCGGCGGUUGGGGAUGGACUCGCGGCUUAUCAGCUUGUUGGUGGGGUAGUGGCUUACCAAGGCUUUGACGGGUAGCCGGCCUGAGAGGGUGACCGGCCACAUUGGGACUGAGAUACGGCCCAGACUCCUACGGGAGGCAGCAGUGGGGAAUAUUGCACAAUGGGCGGAAGCCUGAUGCAGCAACGCCGCGUGAGGGAUGACGGCCUUCGGGUUGUAAACCGCUUUCGCCUGUGACGAAGCGUGAGUGACGGUAAUGGGUAAAGAAGCACCGGCUAACUACGUG
rnacentral:rRNA from 1 species